AAGUCGUAACAAGGUUUCCGUAGGUGAACCUGCGGAAGGAUCAUUAACACGUAUCCACGUAUCAACCAACCGCGAACUAGUUUUCAAUUCUCCCUAAGGAGUACAUGAAUUGUGAAUCGAGUAUUGAGUGGGACUUUAAUCGGUCGACUGUUUUUCACAUAGAUUGUAGUACUCUGAAGGCAAUCCUUUCAUUAUUGGAAUCUCCAUUCAAGAUUCUGAUAGUGGAAACCAAAUACACCAAUUUCACCACCUUUUUGCUAGUUGACUUGAUUAUGUUGAUUUCAUUUUAGAUUAACUUCUGGAGUGAUCUCACACGUUUAAUUAUUUAAACGAUUAAAACAACUCUUAGCAAUGGAUAUCUCGGUUCUC
rnacentral:misc_RNA from 1 species